rnacentral:snRNA from 1 species
UGACUCUGGUUUCUCUUCAUUACGCACAAGCCUUUCGCCUUUUACUAAAGACUUCCGUGGAGAGGAAACAAUUACGAGUUCCACGUAUUUUUGGAGCGUCUUUCUUCUUGCAGAGCC